rnacentral:rRNA from 1 species
AGGACGAACGCUGGCGGCGUGCUUAACACAUGCAAGUCGAGCGGUAAGGCUCCUUCGGGAGUACACGAGCGGCGAACGGGUGAGUAACACGUGAGCAAUCUGCCCUUCACUUUGGGAUAACUUCCGGAAACGGAAGCUAAUACCGAAUACGACCAUCACAGACAUCUAUUGAUGGUGGAAAGUUCCGGCGGUGAAGGAUGAGCUCGCGGCCUAUCAGCUUGUUGGUGAGGUAACGGCCCACCAAGGCGACGACGGGUAGCCGGCCUGAGAGGGUGACCGGCCACACUGGGACUGAGACACGGCCCAGACUCCUACGGGAGGCAGCAGUGGGGAAUAUUGGACAAUGGGCGAAAGCCUGAUCCAGCAACGCCGCGUGAGGGAUGACGGCCUUCGGGUUGUAACCUCUUUCAGCAGGGACGAAGCGAAGUGACGGUACUGCAGAAGAAGCACCGGCCAACUACGUGCCAGCAGCCGC